rnacentral:rRNA from 1 species
AUGCUGGAGGUAUCAGAAGUGCGAAUGCUGACAUAAGUAACGAUAAAGCGGGUGAAAAGCCCGCUCGCCGGAAGACCAAGGGUUCCUGUCCAACGUUAAUCGGGGCAGGGUGAGUCGACCCCUAAGGCGAGGCCGAAAGGCGUAGUCGAUGGGAAACAGGUUAAUAUUCCUGUACUUGGUGUUACUGCGAAGGGGGGACGGAGAAGGCUAUGUUGGCCGGGCGACGGUUGUCCCGGUUUAAGCGUGUAGGCUGGUUUUCCAGGCAAAUCCGGAAAAUCAAGGCUGAGGCGUGAUGACGAGGCACUACGGUGCUGAAGCAACAAAUGCCCUGCUUCCAGGAAAAGCCUCUAAGCAUCAGGUAACAUCAAAUCGUACCCCAAACCGACACAGGUGGUCAGGUAGAGAAUACCAAGGCGCUUGAGAGAACUCGGGUGAAGGAACUAGGCAAAAUGGUGCCGUAACUUCGGGAGAAGGCACGCUGAUAUGUAGGUGAAGUCCCUCGCGGAUGGAGCUGAAAUCAGUCGAAGAUACCAGCUGGCUGCAACUGUUUAUUAAAAACACAGCACUGUGCAAACACGAAAGUGGACGUAUACGGUGUGACGCCUGCCCGGUGCCGGAAGGUUAAUUGAUGGGGUCAGCGCAAGCGAAGCUCUUGAUCGAAGCCCCGGUAAACGGCGGCCGUAACUAUAACGGUCCUAAGGUAGCGAAAUUCCUUGUCGGGUAAGUUCCGACCUGCACGAAUGGCGUAAUGAUGGCCAGGCUGUCUCCACCCGAGACUCAGUGAAAUUGAACUCGCUGUGAAGAUGCAGUGUACCCGCGGCAAGACGGAAAGACCCCGUGAACCUUUACUAUAGCUUGACACUGAACAUUGAGCCUUGAUGUGUAGGAUAGGUGGGAGGCUUUGAAGUGUGGACGCCAGUCUGCAUGGAGCCGACCUUGAAAUACCACCCUUUAAUGUUUGAUGUUCUAACGUUGACCCGUAAUCCGGGUUGCGGACAGUGUCUGGUGGGUAGUUUGACUGGGGCGGUCUCCUCCUAAAGAGUAACGGAGGAGCACGAAGGUUGGCUAAUCCUGGUCGGACAUCAGGAGGUUAGUGCAAUGGCAUAAGCCAGCUUGACUGCGAGCGUGACGGCGCGAGCAGGUGCGAAAGCAGGUCAUAGUGAUCCGGUGGUUCUGAAUGGAAGGGCCAUCGCUCAACGGAUAAAAGGUACUCCGGGGAUAACAGGCUGAUACCGCCCAAGAGUUCAUAUCGACGGCGGUGUUUGGCACCUCGAUGUCGGCUCAUCACAUCCUGGGGCUGAAGUAGGUCCCAAGGGUAUGGCUGUUCGCCAUUUAAAGUGGUACGCGAGCUGGGUUUAGAACGUCGUGAGACAGUUCGGUCCCUAUCUGCCGUGGGCGCUGGAGAACUGAGGGGGGCUGCUCCUAGUACGAGAGGACCGGAGUGGACGCAUCACUGGUGUUCGGGUUGUCAUGCCAAUGGCACUGCCCGGUAGCUAAAUGCGGAAGAGAUAAGUGCUGAAAGCAUCUAAGCACGAAACUUGCCCCGAGAUGAGUUCUCCCUGACUCCUUGAGAGUCCUGAAGGAACGUUGAAGACGACGACGUUGAUAGGCCGGGUGUGUAAGCGCAGCGAUGCGUUGAGCUAACCGGUACUAAUGAACCGUGAGGCUUAACCUUACAACGCCGAAG